GCCUAGCUGACGAGUCCUAAAUAGGACGAAACGCGCGUCCUGGGU
rnacentral:hammerhead_ribozyme from 1 species